GAGUGAAUGAGUGUGAGGAGUGAGCAGGUGGGGUGAGCGAGUAGAGUGAGUGAAAUGGAGUAAAAAAUAAAGAUAGGAAGAUUCUGUCAGUAAUAAUGAUGUAAUGUUGAUUAAAUGUUGUCAUAGUGUCUUCUUUAGAUCAAGAUUUGAAUAUAUGCUGAGAUAUAAAUACACAGAUGUGCUGUUGGUUUGUUUUAGUCAGAGAGAGCAAACCCUACCUGACAUGAGGUCCACGAGCCAAUCGGAUCAGAUAGAGAGAAGCUCCACCCACUCCCAUAAACAUGAAGAAGAACUGAGAGAUGAAACUCAUUGAGGUUUAAAGCGUCACAGAUAAUAACCACUCAAAACUAAUAACAUACGCUAACCCGGAUGCUGCAAAUCAUUUUGACAGAUGUAGAUGGUGGCUUUCCUCAGGGUCACAUUGAUACCUCUGCUCAUCAUCUGUUCAUAUAAUACAUCAUGACAAAAGAUGACAUGGCGCUCACUGAAAUCCAACAGAAGUUGUCGAUGCUGAUGUUUUUCUUUCCACACUUUCUCCUUAUUGUGAGAUGUUGGCUGGUGAGACAGUCGUUCCCAUGAGGCCGUUCCCUGGCAUGGCUUCUUUCUCUGUAGAUAUGGAGAAGCUCUCUGUGACAGCGGCCGGGCCGAGCAGUACUGCGAUGCCUGAUCACUGUCACCAAUUUGUACAUAGCCAUGAGGGCCAUAGAGGGGACAGACCAUCAGUUUGACUCACACAACCAUAAUGAGCCUCAUAGGAUGAACACCUGUCUACAGUGAGAGACACAUUUAACUCUUCUGUGUGUGUGUGUGUGUGUGUGUGUGUGUGUGUGUGUGUGUGUGUGUGUGUGUGUGUGUGUGUGUGUGUGUGUGUGUGUGUGUGUGUGUGUGUUUCCAUGAUGCUGCUAAAAGAUCAAAAACAGAAGAUUAGUUUAUUAAACUGAAGCAGUAUCAUUUUGCUCAUUUAUUCUACAAUUACAUAGUUGACCAUUAAGGACGCAUUUAUUGAUUAAAUGUGUAUGUAACAAGCUUUCCCCAGAUUUGAUUUAGUUUGAUAUUAAUUUUAUUUUAAAUGUGUUGUUUGCAGCCUCAUAAUUUGUUCUACAAACACAUAUUUGUGAUCUGAUGAGAGGCGCAGAUGUAAACGUGUUUUAGUUUUAAUCAAACACUGACACCUGCUGGCGGCUGAUGGUACUGCGACUUAAAACAAAUCAACUUUAAGGGAGGCUCAGGGGUCUCAGACAGGGCUUAUUCUAGUCCCAGACUAAAUUCAUGUAAUUUUAAACAUCUUGUACUGACAUUUCUUAACAUAAUAUCAGUGUCAUUGUUUUUUUUUAGAUGCACAACAGCAUUGUUUUUUUUUUUUAAGGGUUAUUUGUAGAGUAAUGUAUUGUUCUUGAGUAUUAACUUUUCUGGACACUUCUUUACAUUUGAAACACACAUUUCUAUGUAAAGUUAACAUUUGUUGAUAAGUAGUGGAUGAUUUUUCUUAAGCGUGAUCGCUUAUUAUUUUACAGAUGACAGCUCAUUUAAUCACUCUUGUCGCAAGUUUUGCAGGCUCACGUUUUUUACUUAAAUUCUGUUGAAAUAAUCUAAUCAUUUCAAUUUUAAGAUCUUAGAUUUUUGCUGCAUGACAAUGUGUUAAAAAUGAAAACAAUAAUACUUGAUGACUAUACUCAGGAUUAGUUCGUCUGUACAUGAAGGAAACAUUUUACUAAACGCUUUCUGUGUAAAGUGAUAACACAAUCAUUUUUCCUUGCUUAAUCUCUGGUUGAUUUAAAACUCCUGUGAGCAACCUGGAACCCAGUGAAGUGGUGGGUUAAACUAACUACAGCGGUUAUAAAUGACAGUAAACAUGUAACCUCUAUUAAAUAAUCACAUAUCCACAGAGAAAGAGAGUUUAAAGAUUUCAUGCUUGUGGCCACACCUGGUGGCCAAAGUUGGUAUUGCAUGAUAAUGAUAGCUAGCAAACAUUUUCUCCCUGUGUCGUCUUUUGAGGAGAAAAAAUGUGAAACUGAAAAAAAAUAUGUUGAAGGAAAAAUGUAUUGAAAGAGAAAAAAAUAUUUUGAAAGAGGAAAAAAAAUUAAAGAAAAAAAAAACGAAA